ACACAAAAAUGAAAAGCUUGCUUCAGAGAGAGAGAGAGAGAGAGAGAGAGAUUCAAACUAGUAGACUGUGUACUAUGGAGAGUAUGAAAUGAAUAGUAGAUAGAUCAAAGCUAUUAGUUGAUGCUGAAGACUCAUAAGAUCUUAAAGAGAUUGAAGAAGGUGGUGGAAGCAGAAAAGUUAGUAAGAAAUCGAAGACUCAGAAGACCGAAAGGAAAAGAGAAAGAAAUGGUUUAUCAGCUACUCAUCUUAAUCAGUUGGUAUAUGCGUUUUGCAGAAAUGAUGCUAGAACGAUUAUUUGCAUCAAUUAAUGAGGUAAUCGAGCUAUUAGAUUGCAUAUAGAAGUAGGGAUUGAACCACUUAAGUUUGCUUUGGUCCAAUUUUAGAGCAAUGAAAAAAAAUGUAAAUUGCCAAUCUGCUGAGGGAUUAAUCUAAUCAAUGAUUUUUAGAAAGGUGAAUGUGGGUGAGUUUUGAAAGAUUACCAAUUUUGGAGGGAAUGAAUCUGAAGAGUCUGUUUUGCCUCAAUUCAAGACUAACAAAGUUAGAGAGAGUUGAAAUUAUGGAGCAUACCUUACCUUGUAGAAUUUCUAUUCCAAGAUGGGAGUAGAGUAGAAGUUUGGUUAAUAAUGUUUGAUUUCCAUUUCAGAAGAGUAUCUAUUUCUACAAGUGGUCUAACUAGAGAAUAUAAUAACUUGGCACCUCAAGAAAUUAUCUGCCUCACAGUCUUCUAUCGAGGGUGCGGUUUGGUACUCACGGAGAGCAGAACUCAACAUGAGUUGAAGACCAAGUUCGUAGAAGUCCACAUAUACACUCUACGCAGUGGCAAUGGAAGGAGAAACCUUGGAAUGUUCGGAUGAAGGUAUCUUUGCCAAAGUGCGGAAUGUUAUGACUUAUUGCUAUUGAACAAGAAGAAUGAUAAUCAUGCCAUGAAAGGGCGAGAGGAAACAUGCAGUCGUGCGAAUUAUUUGCCGGUAUGAAGAGUGACUGUGUUUUAACUUAGAGUGAUUACGCACAAGCUUUCAACACUGAAAAUGAUCAUGGAUUUUCAGGAAUCGUUUCAUAAAGUGUUUGCUCACAAGAACACCUUAGUCGUGAAAAGAGUUGGGUGAGGAAGAUACGGAGAUACUGGAGUUGAUUGAAAUUAAGGAGAUAGAAAGCCGUGAUCAGCCUUUCAACCAGCUGUGGGAGGAUGGGACCCUGGAUACCUACUUAAGAACUGGUCAGCUUCUGUUCCUAACACGAGAAGGUUCGAGGUGAUACCAGUCUUGCAUCUUUCAUGGGAGAGAUGAAAACUAAGAAAGAACUCAAUUGGGGUGUUGCUAAAGCAACCUUGGUGGCUCAACUGGACAGACCGUUGGGAUAAGCAAGCUCAGGAAGAUAAGAAUGGCUGUGGGCCGAUAAGGAUUUGCUCCUACUAGAUGAACAUUAUAGAAAAAACUACCUUGUCUAUUGCCUGUGGAAUAUUAGGAACAGGAAAGCUAAAUGGACAAGACAUCACUACAUAUACCCAACUAUACAAAUGAAAAGUGUCCUGCAGAUAAAUCCAAUGCGUUAGCCGACAGGGAGUGGGAGGAUCUUGUGAAAUUUUGGAUUACUGAAGAGCAUCAGGUACUUUCUGAUAGCAAUAUCAGUAGAAGCCACCAGAAAGCCAAGCACCCCAAUGUUAAGCUGAAACGGUAAUUGCAAAGGGAUCAAAGGCAGCUAUGUAGAAGAUGUACUUGACCCAGAAGCAGGGGAAUGCAUUGCCAUCAAAGAAGCACUUACAUGGGCAUCUGGGUUUGAGCAGGAUUCACAUAGAAGCAGAUGCAGAGCUGGUCGUGAAGUCCGUUAACUUGUUACUGGUGCUUUUGGACUCUCAAACUUUCCAGCUGAGCUUUAAAAGUUAUUUGGUAAAAAGCUGUCUUCAUUUUCUGCAGUUGCCUCGGCUACUCCACAUUUUUUUGUUUGCCAAGUGAUUGUAAAAUUCUAGUUUAUGUUGUGAAAUUCUAGUUUAUGUUGUGAAACUACUGAACAAGAAUAUGGAAAAUGGUUGUCUUGCUGGUGUACAAAAUCAACUGGUGGUAUAUUGUUGGCUUGUCACUCA